GGUCAGCGGCCGCCUCAGCCUCUCUGUGGGACGCGGGGCUUUGAUUUACCGGCUCCACUGCAUCACCUCCAACACACACCGACGUCUGGUGCCACACCGCCUCCACGUGGACAAACCUGCACAUUACCCCGCUGCCGUCCACCGGCUUCACUUCCCAUUACACACCAUUCUGCAUGUUUGCACCGGAGCAGGAGGAAGCCACGAGCCCUGUUGUGCCCGUUGUUUUACACCGAACAACGAACCCAUCAAACAGUCUCUGCGCCUGGAGCCCUGGAGGCACGGAGCCGACCAGAUCAAGGGCUGGAUUCCCUGUUUUGUGCCUCUUGAACCCCGCCAAUAGACGCCCCCUCAAAGCAAAGCUGCAGUGCUGCAUGGGAGCGACUCGUUGCCCGCAGACGGUCCCCGUGCACCUGAACUUGUUGUUUUGUCAGCUCUCGGGAGCCACUGAUCUGGGGAGGACUGAAUGCUUGUAUUAUUAGACAGAGGAAACCACUCAGCGCAGCAGGUAUACCUUUGAUAUAUCUGUCAGAGGUGCUUAGUGCGCCUGUGUGUGUCGCUGUGCUUUUUCUGGUGCGUUUGAAGACCUCUCUGAAGGUGUUUAGAAAAGUGUAAGUGUGAAAGUGUCUUAAGGAGUUCUCAAAGAGAGCGGAUCCUCUUUGAUGCUUUGUCCCACAGAGAGAGCCACAGAAGCCGGCUGCACUACAGAAAGAGAGAGACGCUGCUUUCUUCUGUCACUCAAUCACCCGGCUUUCUAGUUAGGCUGCGGGAACUCUUUACUGUAUUAGUUAGAGGUGUUGAAAGUUCACAUCCAAUCCACUGCAGAAUAAACCGAGCAUUUAAGAGGCGCCGUCUUUUUGAGGAAGUUCCACCCGCCGCAGAAAGUAGAGCUGAAUCUGUGUCAUGACUUUGGUGAUGGAAGUGCACAAGCUGCUGAAUACUGGAUGUGUUUGGCUUGAACCCCAUUCUCAUUGUCAGAGGAAAUUAUAACGAUAGAUAGAAAAAUAGCUUUAAUAUGCUGCACAUUUGAAGUAAAAUAAAACCCCAGGAGAUUGUUUGAUAGAAACAGAUGCAGAAUUUAACUAUCUCAAAGGUGGAUCUGUAUUUUUUUUUAAUUCUGAGGAGUUUACGAUUCAAACCUAAUUAUAAUAAAUAUUCCAUAGAUGACAAUUAUUACAGUUAUUUCAUUAAAGGUGAGAUUGCGUCAUUCGAUACGAUAAACCAAACAUAAGAAGGAAAAUAAAACAAGGUCAAAGGAGAUGAGUCUGCUGCUCUGCAGCCGCCGUCAUCUUCCAUAGGGUGGCGACGUUUCUCAAAAAACACUGUGAUACACUGUUGGAACCCACGUGAACGCUCCACUGCAACUGGCUGGCUUCCAGUGCAACAAUGUGAUCGGAUUCAUGAAUAAAGUGGGAGCUCAGACGUUUUUAGACUUCAGAUAAAGGUGAACAGCAGCCGAAGACACACGCCAGCACUGGCUUUAAUAAAGCCAUAAAUUCUAUCCGUUCCACGUAUGUUGGUGGCGCGUGGGGGUGUGUUAAUGAAUGCAUGUGUCUGCCCACUCAGAUACAUUUAUAUAAGUAUUAAAGACGCGCCGCUGCUGAGGUGAUUAGUCCCCUUUCUGCCCCAUUUGAGAAGGGGCAUACCACAGCCAAUGAUAUGACUCACUGUGACAUGCACAUGCACAUUCAGACACUACUCACAGUGCGUUGCAGAGUGAAACACUUGAGGCACUCGUGUAUGCAAUAUGACACGCUUAAACCCACUCUCCACUCCCCCAAACACGUAAUUAUGAAUAAACAGCCCUAUUAUACAGCAUAUAAUUAUAUAUCAUAGAGCACUGAGCCCUCACUGAAUAAACAUUGUGUACUGUGCUUUUUUUUUUUUUUUUUUUAUUAAA